GUUUUUUCUCGCACAUAUAUUGCUGGAAUGGCGAAUCGAAAAAGUAAUUGGGAAUGGGGUAGAAACAGACAUCAUCAAUCACAAAGCACAAGGCAAGAAAGAAGAUUUGGCAAAGAUACUUCUAAUUUUGCGCAUGCAUGCACACUAGUAAUAUAUUGUUCUUUUUAAAUGACAGUCUCCUUACAAACAAAACCGUGUUUUUUAAACCAUCUUCGGAAAAUAAACAUCUUUUCUGCGUAGCAUAGGGCUUUGAUUGACCACUGUUUUUUCACUUUCUUCUCCUUUGGCAAAAUUUUCUUGCCUUCAACAGGUCGGACCAGAAAUCAACUCAAUUUUUUCACUCUGAACUUCGGGUAUGAUGAAAUCACAUGUACUUAAAUAGGUUUGGCUGACUAUGACAUUUUGAUGAGACUAGUAUUUGCCAUGUCUUGAAAAUCCUGUUUACGUUGUAAAUGAGAGGAAGAGUUCCUAAUCUAAAUGUAAAUGAGAAGAAAUCUCUCAUGAAACAAUAUCCGCAUCAACCUGUUACAUUCUACAAAUGGGCGUCAAAAUUAGGCCAAGUGACGGAGUAGACCAAAUUUGGCACGGCUAAGCCCGCUAACUUAGUUUUGAAAUCGUGAAAAUCAUUAUUUUCUUGAGAUAUUUGCUCUCUCUAUAGACUGUUGUUGCUUUGGUUUUUAUGUAACUGCUCUUUCGUCGUCGCUGCUGCAGGUACUAUUUCUGUUAUUUUUGUCUUAUCUUAAUUACGAACGCGAUUGGUAAAGUUAAAGAAAAGUUUUUGCGCUCAAAGUUUUAGCAUGGAGCAUAAAUUGGUUCAAGAUACAUGGGAGCAUAAAUUGCAAGAUUCAUGUUUUGAUUAUAUUCAAGCCCAAUAAAUGUUUGUCUUGAUACCUACUAUACAAUUAAGAAAAUCUAAUGCUGCCAAAGUAUAUAAAACAAUUAAAUAAUUUUUGAAAAAGAAUGCUUGCCUUUCACUAUAGCUCAAAUGGGGUUAUUUUUCCAUAAUUUGAGCUGAAGACCAUUUCACUAGUUUUCCAGCAGAAUUUUGUAAAAAUAGAAAUCAAAAUACGUAUUUCGUCACUGUUCAAUGCAUUGCAUUGUAAAUUUUAUCAGCGCAUAUAUCGUUAAUAUGGAGAUACGCAGGAUGGGCUGUCCGUCGGAUUCUGUGAAUUUUGUUAUGAGUUCAGAUUUAAGGUACUAGGCAGAAACAAAGCAAAACGACGACAAGAAUCCAAUAUGUUGUAAAAGCAAAUUUUCGAAAUGAAUUGAAUGCAAAAUUAGCAUUUCGCUCUGGCACCCAAGGUUUAAUCUUAGUCAAUGUAACAAAUCAAUAAAUGAUAAGCUCUGAAUAAGAUUAUGAUAAGAGCUGAAAUUUUGAAUUGUAAUUUUAAUCCUUUGUUGGUGAAAACUGUAUGAAUUUCCUACCAUGGAAGAUCAUUCUCAACCAUGGAAUCCAGAAAAUUUAAAGAAAAAAGUUUUAUUGUACUGAUCUUCUUUAACUAACUGCCCAGUUUGUAGCGCUCUUAGGAUCUGACAAAAUCACAAUCGACACAGUUUUACUGAAAGGAUUAUAAAUUGACGAGAGUCAUCCCACUUGCUAUUUAUACACUUCCGUCCGCAGAUAUUCUGAAUAUACCUCGAACAAUUCUUGAAUUCAAGGAAACUGGCUCUUCUCUGCUUCCUGCAGGCCAAUUAUGCAACAACUAUACAGCUAGGAAUUUUGAUGAUAUCAUUCACCCCCUGAGGGAGGAUUUAUUGCUACGCACAAAAGACCACUAUCCCCUUGUCUAGGUUGGCUUGCUAGAAGAAUGGUUAGGUGACAACUGCAUAAAAAUCUAUUUUUAAAAUUUGGACUGUAUAAUCUUGUACUUAAUUAGCCUUUGAAAGCUUAGUGUCAGUCAGUGAAGCCUCAUGCUUGAAAAAGGCUGACCUUUAGUUCUAGAUCAGUAUGUUUAGAUAGCAGUGAACCUUCUCCAAUAAGAGCACUAUGCAGACUUAUAAAGAGAGUUGCCAAUCAUUUGUAUAUGAAAAUAUCGUCCAUUUAGAGGUACAGUGAGAUGGCACCAUUGGUUGAUUUUUCCUCUGAAAGGGACGUACAGCGCUCAUUGUCUUUUGUAGUAUAAGAUAAGCAUGUGUUUGUUUCAAAUUGAAGGUGUGCUAAUGCAAAUUGUGCUGAAAUACUUCAAAUAAUUUUUUUAAGUAAGAUAGCCAUUUUUUUCUUUUGUACGAUGUUUAAAAAGUAAAUUUGACAAGAACAAGUUAUAAUGAUGAUGCUAUUGGGAUUUGGGAGCAUGAUAGGCAAGGCUACCCAUUGACCUCUUUAUGCUAUUGUAUAACAGCAAUACCAAGUAGUUUGAAGGCAAAGCCCUUUCGUUAUUAAUGCCUCACACAAUCUUUACUAAAAUAAACAUAGCGAUGUUGUAGUUGUUGCUCUUUCAUGUUAAGUAUGCUCAGAAUAGACAUCUCAUCAAGUCCCUGUUACAGUUGUCCGCGAAAUCAUCUAUCCCUGUUACAUUUUUCAGUUAUUACUUUUCACAAUAAUAUUGUUUAUUUCAAUAUUUAAUUAUUUCUUUGGUAUCACAGAACGACAAUUCUAAUGCUCAAACUUGAUAAUUACCCUAUCUUUACCUCUUCAAAUUAAAGGUUUGCAAGAAGUUAAGAAGAUGGCCAGUAGCUACCAAUAAUCGUUGCAUAUCAAAAGAAGAUCACUUUGAGAUUUGAGGAGUAUCUUGAUUCAUCAAAUAGGACAACACAGAGAAAAUUCAAUGCUGCUGUCCGAGAAAAAAGUGCGUUGAACGAUAAUGACCUAUGCUGGGAAGAAAGGAGCAUCACUAUUAAUUUUUUGUUGAAAUGAAGGAAACAAGAAAUACAUUUACACUCCAAUAUACAAGCAUGUAUGUCGACAGCGAGAGAUCAAUUUAAGAUUAAGAUCAGAAUUCUAAUGGCUCGUUUAUGGUUUUCAUGUUCUAGUAUAACCUGUUCGCAUAAAAGGCAGAAAGAGAUGUUUCCAUUAACAAGGGUACUAAUACAGUAGAAACGUGACAGUUCGAUUACAUUGCUGCUCAAGGAAGGAUUUUGUCAUUUGGAAGUCUGCAGUUUUUUGUACAAAGGACUUCUUUAUGUCUGAUUGAAGAUUAUAACCUAACUAAAAAGCUGCCUCAAAGAUCAAUCUUAAUUCACAAGCAGAGGUAAGUGACUUUGGAUCAGCUUAGGCAGUCAAUGCCAUUAAAACUGUCUUAGACGACUUAAGAAUAGGCUGGCAGCGUAUUAUGGUAAUUUACAUAAUAUUAAAGAACAUGACGCUUCUAGAAUGGAAUAAUUUCUGUUCCGCAAUUCAACAAGUAAAAGCAUCAAAUUAUAAUUUCGUAUGCUAACCAAGUUUCUAGUAAUUAAUUACCAAAGAUGUCUGUUUGAGCUGUCUCAAGACAGGUCGAUAUCUGCAGAUAAGAGUCUACUGUGAAAAGCGUUCUAUGAACAUCUUUAAUGAUAUGUCAUUGAAAGCUGUUCUUACACCUCUAAAAAAGACCAAGCUAAUCAGAAGAAGAAGGAGCCUUGAAAGGUGUACAAGAGGCUAAUUAAUAUCGCUAAUAACAUGUAGACUAUGAUUUUGUUCAAUCCAAUUCAACAUUAGCUAUGAAGUUACCAAUUUCCAAGGUGCAGGGUUUUUCAUUUUUUUAACGAGAGGAUACGUACUAGAAAAGCUUUUGGAAUUGUUAUGCUCAAUAAUACCAAGGAAAUCAAUACAGAAUUCUUUUUUGCUGGAACAACAAAUAUGUAGCUUACUGUAAUGUAUUAGGCAUAAACCAUUUUAUACUAGCCUCGGAUUGGAGUUCAGGGAUUAGAUCAGGGUCGGAAUGAAAACAGUCUUGUCUCGUGUGCUCUCUAGGUCUAGCGUUAGGUCGCAGCGGAUCAUAGGCAUCGCGCGAACAUACACAACACUUACAAAUAAAAAAAUGUAUCAAUGGUGUUUGUAUUAUCCUCUAAUUUUCUCCUCAAAUUAUAGAAAUUCACGUGCUUGUGUUUAGAUUUAUAAUCAAUAUUGCAGAAAAUUUCAACAAUAAAGAUAAAACAUGUAGAAAAAUAUCUUAACAUUUACGAAGCGCCUUUUAGAAAAAUAAAUAUAUAUAGAAACACUACCAAGCUGCAGAGUCACUGACACUAAUGCUAGCCAUUCAAGAAUUAUCCAAAUUUCUUUCUACGAUAUUUUGGUGUUUUGAUGGCUCGAUAAAAUUAGGUAUGUUCAUUCUAUUUUAAUGGUGCCUUGCUGCUAUUGCUCUUAAAUAUAAUUUUCUUUAGCCACUUUAUGAUAAACACUACAGCUAAAUACGGGAGAUUUAUGGGAGAUUUUGGACAAUUAUUAAUAGUUCCAAACCAUAGGCAAUAGAAAAAUCUCUCGUCUGAAAGUCCUUUGUUUUAUCCUUUUGUUUCGCGCGCCGACUUGAAGCCAGCCUAUUCGUAGGUCACAUGAUCAAAACGAGUGCAUAAACAAAUUUUGAAAUGACGGAUGCUGAUGUUUAAGUGCGCAGACAAGCCUUAAACUCAAACUCAAAGCUCAAAAUCUUUUUCACAGCAUCAGCAGGUUAAUCACGUUAUACUGACAUAUAAAAAGGAAAAAUAUUGGGUAUUAAUACAAUGAUAAGAAAACUUUUAAAGACGUUAUAUCGCAAACUUGUUGGCUGAAGGAUACAUGGAAAAAACUCAAAAAGAGCUAUCGAGUCAAUCAAGAUUUUAUCUUGAGGCCGUGUGUCCUAUUGGAGGGUUUAGAUUCAGAAGCUGCUAAGAUUUCGAUUAAAUACUUAACAGAAAGUAAUGACUAAAAUUUGACUAAAAUCAGAACAAAAACAAUAACAAGAUGAAAUAAUAUUAAUACAGAAGUAGCGAAAUAAAGUAAUAAAGUUUUACCAACUGAUAGUAAAUCUACUGCUUUUGGAGCCACAACAGGCUCUAGCGUCCCAGCAUUUGACACGCAAUCAGCAUUCGCAGCAUCAGCUGGCAGUGUACCCAGCGAAUAGUUUAGACUUCAUGUUUUUUGUCGAAAAAAGCUUGACGAACUGUUAAAC